rnacentral:lncRNA from 1 species
ACCAUAUUCAGAAGGUGAGAUAAGAUGAGGACCUAUGGAGGGUACAAUAUUUCAACAGCUGCUACUUGGAUUGGAAUGAAAGCUGCCCACUGACUCAAGAAAAGAGAAGCUGCUCUCAGCUAGAAGUUCACUAUCUAUGAAUUAGUGUCACCUCUGAGCUAUGCUGAUCAUCAAACAGAAACCAAUUAUGAAGUAUGAAGGCUCACCACUAAA